rnacentral:rRNA from 1 species
UACGGAGGGUGCAAACGUUGCUCGGAAUCAUUGGGCGUAAAGCGCACGUAGGCGGCGUGGUAAGUUGGGUGUGAAAGCCCUGGGCUCAACCCAGGAAGUGCAUUCAAAACUGUCUCGCUUGAAUCUCGGAGGGGGUCAGAGAAUUCCCGGUGUAGAGGUGAAAUUCGUAGAUAUCGGGAGGAAUACCAGUGGCGAAGGCGCUGACCUGGACGAAGAUUGACGCUGAGGUGCGAAAGCGCGGGGAGCAAACAGG